rnacentral:rRNA from 1 species
AGAGCUCGUAGGUGGUUUGUCGCGUUGUUCGUGAAAACUCACAGCUUAACUGUGGGCGUGCGGGCGAUACGGGCAGACUAGAGUACUGCAGGGGAGACUGGAAUUCCUGGUGUAGCGGUGGAAUGCGCAGAUAUCAGGAGGAACACCGGUGGCGAAGGCGGGUCUCUGGGCAGUAACUGACGCUGAGGAGCGAAAGCGUGGGGAGCGAACAGGAUUAGAUACCCUGGUAGUCCACGCCGUAAACGGUGGGUACUAGGUGUGGGUUCCUUCCUUGGGAUCCGGGCCGUAGCUAACGCAUUAAGUACCCCGCCUGGGGAGUACGGCCGCAAGGCUAAAACUCAAAGGUAUUGACUGUGGGCCCGCACAAGCGGCGGAGCAUGUGGAUUAAUUCGAGGCAACGCGAAGAACCUUACCUGGGUCUGACAUGCACAGGACGCUGGUAGAGAUAUCAGUUCCCUUGUGGCCUGUGUGCAGGUGGUGCAUGGCUGUCGUCAGCUCGUGUCGUGAGAUGUUGGGUUAAGUCCCGCAACGAGCGCAACCCCUAUCUUAUGUUGCCAGCGCGUUAUGGCGGGGACUCGUAAGAGACUGCCGGGGUCAACUCGGAGGAAGGUGGGGAUGACGUCAAGUCAUCAUGCCCCUUAUGUCCAGGGCUUCACACAUGCUACAAUGGCCGGUACAAAGGGCUGCGAAUCCGCGAGGUGGAGCGAAUCCCUUGAAAGCCGGUCUCAGUUCGGAUCGGGGUCUGCAACUCGACCCCGUGAAGUUGGAGUC